GAUGAAGAACGUAGCGAAAUGCGAUACGUAAUGUGAAUUGCAGAAUUCAGUGAAUCAUCGAAUCUUUGAACGCAUAUUGCGCUCUUUGGUAUUCCGAAGAGCAUGCUUGUUUGAGUAUCAGUAAACACCUCAACCUCUUCUUGAUUUUUCAAAAGGAGGGUGGACUUGAGCUAUCCCAACAACCUUUACCGGUCGGCGGGCGGCUUGAAAUGCAGGUGCAGCUGGACUUUUAUCUGAGCUAAAAGCAUAUCUAUUUAGUCCUCGUCAAACAGGAUUAUUACUUUUGCUGCAGCUAACAUAAAGGAUAAUUGUCCUCUUUGCUGACUGAUGCAGGAUUUUACGACACUUUAUGUGUUUUUCAACUCGAUCUCAAAUCAAGUAAGACUACCCGCUGAACUUAAGCAUAUCAAUAAGCGGAGG
rnacentral:misc_RNA from 1 species